rnacentral:rRNA from 1 species
UACGAAGGGGGCGAGCGUUGUUCGGAUUUACUGGGCGUAAAGGGCGCGCAGGCGGCCGCUCAAGUCAGGCGUGAAAGCCCCGGGCUUAACCUGGGAACUGCGUCUGGGACUGAGUGGCUAGAGUUCGGGAGAGGAGAGUGGAAUUCCCAGUGUAGAGGUGAAAUUCGUAGAUAUUGGGAAGAACACCGGUGGCGAAGGCGGCGAGCUGGUCCAUUACUGACGCUGAGGCGCGACAGCGUGGGGAGCAAACAGG